AUGAAACAGUGAAAGAAGAGGAGAUCCUUGAGCUGGGUGUGUGUUUGUUGUGCAGUAAGAGAUCUGGACUUACCAGAGGCAUUUUGGAUGCAGGAGUAAUCCUACCAUCCAUAGUGGGGGGAAUGAGUAACUGGGCAGUUCAUCAAGGCUGUUUCCACUAACCUUACCUUUAUGUUGCCCUCAGUUGGUUCCCUUGGGUCACAGCCAUGCCGUGCUAAAAGGAAACCCCGCAGGACGGUCAGUUCAGCUUAACUAGAUGUACUGAUGACAUCUAGGGAAAUCACUGAGGACACAAAAGCAACCUGAACUUUUCACUCAUUGUUAACUUAUAGGUAUUUUUUGUUUAUGAGGAACUGUUUCAGAGAUGAGAUGCUGGUCUGCUCCUGGAAGUGAGCCGUCACAUUGGGUGGAGGGCCAGAAGGAACUGAUCCCAUCGUUCCCCAUCACUUGUUUGUCUCAUCUGGAAGGGUUCAAGGUCAUGCUGAUAUUAUAAUGCAGUCUACUUGGAAGACAGCCAAAUCAAAAAUUUCCCCCAACAUUUGAAAUCACUGCUGAAAGUGGAAUUUCGAAUGAAUAAAGUACUUUGCUCUUAAAGCGGCAUCAGGGAAAUCUCAGUCACAGCGUCACCGAGACAGGGAAGGAAUCAGGCUGAGAAGAUGAAAAAGGGGUAAAGGAUCUGUGUCAGCACCACGCUGCCUGUGCUCCUCAAGCACGUUGGGCGAUCACCUGACUGGACAGUCCUGAGGCACAGCUCCCGAGGCUUUGUUGGGAUCGUCUGCCAUGACAUACUGUGUCACUGGAGGACUCCAGUGUUCAGCUUGGACUGUCCUGGCUCCAGAAGAUAAGCCAGCCUUCUCAGCCUUUGUCUUCCAAAGACUUCUGCAACUAAACCUUGGAUGACUGGAACUGACCAGCACUGAGAGAAGAUAUUGGCCGCCUUCAGGAUUCUGUUUAAAGCUUAGGAACUCGAGGACACCAAGUGUUUGUGGCUAAUCUUAGUCUUCAUGCCUACCUGCAGCUCUGACAGUGGUGAUGUUGGGCUCCGCUUUCUCUCUACCCUACUCUGUGGCCUUAGAUG